rnacentral:rRNA from 1 species
AGCGAACGCUGGCGGCGUGCCUAACACAUGCAAGUCGAACGUGAAAGGGAGCAAUCCUGAGUAAAGUGGCGUACGGGUGAGUAACGCGUAGGUAAUCUACCUUAAAGUCUGGAAUAACCUGCCGAAAGGCGGGCUAAUACUGGAUAGAACGACGGAAUCCGUAAUUGGGUUUUUCGGGAAAGGGAGCUUGUAAGAGCCCUCGCUUUAGGAUGAGCCUGCGGCCCAUUAGCUAGUUGGCAGGGUAAUGGCCUACCAAGGCAGUGAUGGGUAGCUGGUCUGAGAGGAUGAUCAGCCACACUGGAACUGAAACACGGUCCAGACUCCUACGGGAGGCAGCAGUGGGGAAUCUUGCGCAAUGGACGAAAGUCUGACGCAGCCACGCCGCGUGAGUGAAGAAGGCCUUCGGGUUGUAAAGCUCUGUCGGGCGGGACGAACAUCCUAUGGUUUAAGAGACGAUAGGACUGACGGUACCGCCAAAGGAAGCACCGGCUAACUCCGUGCCAGCAGCCGCCGUAA